rnacentral:rRNA from 1 species
UGGGGAAUAUUGCACAAUGGGCGAAAGCCUGAUGCAGCGACGCCGCGUGAGGGAUGAAGGCCUUCGGGUUGUAAACCUCUUUCAGCAGGGAAGAAGCGAAAGUGACGGUACCUGCAGAAGAAGCACCGGCUAACUACGUGCCAGCAGCCGCGGUAAUACGUAGGGUGCGAGCGUUGUCCGGAAUUAUUGGGCGUAAAGAGCUUGUAGGCGGUUUGUCGCGUCUGCCGUGAAAAUCCGGGGCUCAACCCCGGACUUGCGGUGGGUACGGGCAGACUAGAGUGUGGUAGGGGAGACUGGAAUUCCUGGUGUAGCGGUGAAAUGCGCAGAUAUCAGGAGGAACACCGAUGGCGAAGGCAGGUCUCUGGGCCACUACUGACGCUGAGAAGCGAAAGCGUGGGGAGCGAACAGG